AUCUAGCUGAUGAAUUCCAAACAGGACGAAACACGCGUCCUGGAU
rnacentral:hammerhead_ribozyme from 1 species